rnacentral:piRNA from 1 species
UACGCCCCCAAUUUGUAUUGC